ACAACCCUAGAACGUGAAGUUUAGCUCCACAUAGACAUGACAGCAAAACAACAAAUCAUACAAAGAAAUAUAACAAUUACUAAUUUUGGUGAAUGAAAGAUGAAACCCGGCCUCCACGGCGGCUCUGUGCUCUUCCUAGGUCAAAAGUUUGUUAAAAGUUACAACAAUAACGUUUUUUCAUGUAUUUAUACCAAGUAGGAUCGGACCCAGACGAAAACACCUUCUCCCCCGCGAAAUAGGACUCUAGCUCUAUAAAAUUUUCACAGGCAUGCCGCAUGGGGCAACACGUCACAUGAUAUGCUUGUGGGGAACUUCAGAGAGUAUGCAAUUUGAGGGCAACAACAAUUUACACAGCUGUGGCGCCCCAUGCGGCACAUCUGUGGAAAUUUGGAACAAUGUAAAACAUGAAAGUUGUAGCCCUUUUAAAUAACUUUCUAAUGAUAUAUUAUGGAGCCCAAACGGAUUUUUGAGCGAAAAGUUAUGCGCAUUUUACUGGACAAUGCUUAGUAUGCCUGCUCGAUUCUUCGUUUCAUUCUUAAAAUGCACUAUCAUCCAUUGAUCCUCGAACAUGAUCCCAACUUAAUCCUUGGAUUUUACUCAGACUUCAAAGCUCAAGAAUAGCUUGAAUUCAUUUCAUAACAUCUACAUAGAUUAGAAUCACUCCUACAAGGCAUAAAACACACAUUUAGUGCAAAACACUAGCGAUUAAAGCUCAAACUCAAUUAAAAUGCAGUAAAUUAGAGUGUAAUAAGCGACUAAAAAAUACGUAAUUAUAGCCUAUCAUUAGCAUUUUUGCAAUUUUACUCAUAGCCUUCUGCCUAAUUUCUCAUCAAUUUGAACACUUGACGAACCGUUUGUAGUAGGUUUUUAUGACUAACCGUUAUUUUCUUUCAUUGUUGAUCACCUUACUAUCUUAUUAUUUUUACUCUGAUUUUAUAUGAGUUUUUGGUAUUGUCCCUUCUUAGCUAUAUUUUCAUUAAUGUGGUGCUUAUGCUUUCCUAAGCCGAGGAUCUAUUGGAAACAGCCUCUCUAUCCUCACAAGGUUGGGGUAAGGUCUGCGUACAUACUACCCUCCUCAGACCCCACAGUGUGGGAUAAUAAUGAGUAUAUUGUUGUUGUUGUUGAACACUUGACGAAGUCUACACAAAUAUAAAAAUAAAUAAAUCAAUAAAUACAACACUAGAAAAUGCAAAAGAAAUCCAAGAUCUGCAAUAUUUUCUUUUAAAUUUCCUCUUCUUCUUUGUAACAACCUAACGUUUUAAUACAAUGUUUGUUAUUUAUUCAAUUAAAAUUAUUUAUUUUAAAGAUUUACUCAUGGCAACUAGUAAUUAUACUAUACAUUCAUAUUGUAUAUGUCCAAAUAUAGACUCAUUUUUGGAAUUGUCACCCUCCAACCUAGGUGAGGUGGACAGACACUUAAUGCCUUAGGUAUAUGAGCGACCCAUUUCGUAAAACUAGUAAAUUUAUCACAUUUGCAACAUCUGCAAUCAGAAAAUCNNNNNNNNNNNNNNNNNNNNNNNNNNNNNNNNNNNNNNNNNNNNNNNNNNNNNNNNNNNNNNNNNNNNNNNNNNNNNNNNNNNNNNNNNNNNNNNNNNNNNNNNNNNNNNNNNNNNNNNNNNNNNNNNNNNNNNNNNNNNNNNNNNNNNNNNNNNNNNNNNNNNNNNNNNNNNNNNNNNNNNNNNNNNNNNNNNNNNNNNNNNNNNNNNNNNNNNNNNNNNNNNNNNNNNNNNNNNNNNNNNNNNNNNNNNNNNNNNNNNNNNNNNNNNNNNNNNNNNNNNNNNNNNNCAACACAAACAUCUAUCUAGCAUACAGUAACUUACCACAGGUACACAUAUGUCUACAAAAGUCUCUAAGAACAUCUGACAGACAUAACAACAUAGUCGGUACAUGGCCCCGAUUUGCCCAUAAGUCUAUAUAAAAAAUCAAAACAUAAGGACCUCUAGGCUCGACUGCACUCCGGAUGAUAUGGAGUCCACCAAUCAACAACUGGAAUUGAAAUUACUUAUUUGGGGGUCCUUCAAACUGCCUACUUGAACCUGCAUCAUGAAUGCAGCAUCCCCGACCAAAGGGAUGUCGGUACGAUAUAAUAUACCAAUGUAAUGACCCGAUCGGUUGUUUUGAGAUUUAGCAUUCCAUUCGGUGGUUUGAGACUUUGAGUAGCUUCAUAUUAUGUGUUAUGACUUGCGUGUAUGGUUGGUUUUGAUUUUUGAGCGGUUCAAGAUUGAUUCGGAAGAAUGAUUCUCGUUUUAGAAGCUUUAAGUUGGAAGUGUUAAGCAAGGUUUGACUUUUGGAUAAAUGGACUCGCAAUCAGGUUUUGAUUAUUCCAAUAGGUUUGUAUGAUGAUUUUGGACUUGUACGUAUGUUUGAAUUUGGUUUCAGAGGUUCCUAGAAGAAUUCGACACUAUUUGUCGAAAGUUGGCAAUUUGAAGAACUAAAAAGUUCAUAAGUCUGAUCAAGAGUUGACUUUGAUAUUAUUGAACUCCAAUUGGUGUUUCGAGACUUUGGAUAGGUCUAUAUAGUUGAAUUGAACGUGUAUAUAAAGUUUGAAAGUAAUCCAAAGUGUGUAAGUAUGAUUCAGACACUCUUUUGAAAGAAUGAACAAUUAACAACUUAAGAGAAAUUCUAUUCGGUUUGAGUCUAGAAAUCCCGUGGUGCUUGCUAUAUCGUAGUUCUUCAUCUUGUGGCUGUUUUGGAGGGUUCUUCAAAGUGAAGUAACCUCAGGUCUCGUGUGGUUAUUGAUGAUUAAGAUAAUAAUCAGUCCCUCCUUCAUACAUAUUAUUUUCAAGGUGAACUACAAGUGUUUAUAGUCCAACUUGAACACCAAAAGUUAAUUCAAGAAGAGAAUACAACACCUAUAGUAUUACGGUUAUUGAGGAUAAUUGUGGGCUGUGUUUUGCCAAAAUUUCAAGUUUUUGAUAAUGUCUAAGGUGAGUAUAAUAGCCUACCAAUUGUGGUUAAGCUUGCUUUUAUGUUGGUUAAGUUGUUAGGAUGAUAAACUAUAAGGUUAUACUUGGAUUAGCUUGAGAUGUUGUUAUUCUUGAUGGAUUGAUUUGAAAGUUGCUCUUAUGAACUUUAAGUGGCUGAAAAUUAUGGAAAGUAAGUUGGCUAUGAUAUUUUUAGUAUGAUUAUGUUGGUUUACAUGUCAAUCUUGUUGAGAAAAUCUGUAACUAGAAAAGAAAAUGGCUAUAAAGCACUUGGAAGUUGUCGAUAGUGAUAUUAUCUUGCGUUGGGCUAUUUUGGAUAACUUUAAAAUUGAGUACAAGGUUGAAAAUCCUAUAAAAGCUAUUGAUUAUUAUAUUGAAUAUAUUACUAAUUUCAAGAAUGAAUGAUAAUUGGGUUAAAGGGUGCUAAACGGAUUCAAUCCGAGCUUGCCGCUCGUCGUGAUAGGUUGAUGACUUGUUAAUGAAAUAUUUUGUACCCUAUUAUUGAUGUUGUUUUUAUUGUAUUGCUCUGGUGGUUGUUGUUGAUAUAUGGUAUUGGAGGAGGCCCUUGUUACAGGGGAAAUGCUGCUCAAAUUUACAUAAACGAGCUACUAGCUUAAAUUACGGACAUAGCCAUUACUCAGCGCUGAUUUUGAAUCUCAUUAUGCUAUAGUAGACUGAGUUGAGUUGUUUCAAGAGUUGUUUGGAAGCUAUUAAGGACUCAAUGAGGUUAAGGUAUGUUAAGGCUAAACCUUUCUUUCAUUUUGGCAUGAUCUAGUAACUACAUGUGUUUGAUAACAAGACAUAAACAGAAGUUUAUAUUCCUGAAUUUAUGUACAUUGUCCUAGUCUCAUAAGUUAUAACAUUGUCCCUUAUCAGGACUUCAUAUUUAGUUUAGUUUUGUCUUUUUUCAGUCAAGAGAGCAGAAAGUCUACAUAUAUACAAUACUAUAGUAUUUUCACCACCAUCGAGCUAUAAUCGGUCGGUAGGCCCCUAUUGAGCAACCUCUGAUUAGAUGGUAAGUUAUAUACCAAGCCUAUUAUGGCCGAGCGCCUAUGAGCGAGCCCAUAAUGACCGAGAUACAGAGCCUAGUAUGGCCGAGCGCCUAUGAGUGAGCCUACUACGGCAGAGCAGUUACAUACCGAGCCUUAUAAGGUCGGACAACUAUUUUACUUACUAUAUUGAGAGAGUUGAGUCAGUAGCAGCAGGUAAGCAUAUCUUCAGAUUAUCUUUUACUCCAGUUACUUUCAGUUAUUAUAUUAUUAGUUCAGUUUCAGCUUUCAGUUAUUCUGUUGCCUUACAUACUCGGUACAUUAUUUCGUAUUAACGUCCCUUUUGCCGGGGACAUUGCAUUUCAUGCUUGCAGGUCUUGAUUGACAGUUGGACAGACCCUCCCAGCAGACAGAGUCAAAUAUUAGCUUAGUUAAUAAGCUCCACUUCCUCGAAGUUACCAGGUCUAGACCUUGGAGUCCAUUUUAUAUAUACAGGUUUGAUGAGUAGGUCGAGGCCCUGUCUCGACCAUAGUAUAGUUCAGUUAUCUCUAGAAGCUUGUAAACGAGUCUUGUAUAUUUUUUAUAUCAGUAGAUGUUCAUGGCGUCUUCGUCGACUGUCACAGUUAUAUAUAUCAGCUUUUGGAUAUGUUUACCCCACAGAUGAGAGAGAUGUUAUUUUCAUACGAUUUAGAAUAUGGCCUAAGUUGAGGUUUACCCCUCCAGAGUUCACAAUUUCAGAGUGGUACGCUUGGACCGAGAUGGCACCGGGUGCCGACCACGCCUCUUCAGGUUUGGGGCAUGACAUUGACGGCUUGCGUGACUUGGUUGAGUUGGGCAAAUUCAAUUCAAGUGGCUCGUGGGGUGUUGCAUGGUUGGCUGCGCCUUGAUUAUGAUCUUCUGUUUGUCAUAUAUAGUGAUAUCUGUUUCUUCAUGGUUAUGGUCAUGCGCUUCGCGUGUUUGUUAUUGAUAUGCAUACAGUUGUUGAUUAUGAACCUCAUGGCUCAAUGUAUUCCAUGUGGACCGGUGUCUGGAUUUGGUCACGCAUCCAAUGCAAUGGGAACACGAUUUGAAAUGUUGAACCCCAUAUCGCAUUUGCGAGAUUUUCUUUGCAAUUGCGAGGGUCACAUUUACAAACCCAUUGUCACAAUUGCGACAUCUGCAGCUAAACAUAAAGGCUGGAAAGUCGGGAUUAAGUCUCAUUUCUCAUAUUUUAGAACACCUAGACUCGGUAGGAGGUGAUUUAGAGAGGGGAUUUUCAUUUAUAAAUAUUGGGUAAGUGAUUCUAAUUAAUUUCAACUAUAUUUCAUGAUUAUAUCUUAGAUUUAACAUUAAAUUUAUGAGAAUCAAAGAGGAAAAUUGUUGAUUUUUGUCAAAGUUUUGAAAAAUGAAGAUUUGAGUUUUGAGAGUCGAUUUGGACUCGGAUUUAAAAACCAAACACAUAUAUGGACUCGUGGGGUUGUGGAUAAUCGGAAUCUACCCUUGGAACCAUUUUUUGACCAGGCAGGCUCGGGGGCAUACUUUUGUUGACUUUUAGGAAACUAUGUAAAGAUCAAAGCUUUAUCAAUUGUAAUUGGUUUCCCUUGCAUUGUUUGAUGAUAUUAUGUCAUUUUUGCUUAGAUUUGAGUCGUGUUGAGGCAAAUUUUUGGGAAAAAGCUAUUUUUGAGGGUUGAUUUGGCCUAGUUGAGGUAAGUAUCUUGCCUAACUUUGUGUGGGGGAACUACCCCUUAGGAUUUGGGUUGUUUUUAUUAACUAUACUAAGUAAAAGACGUUUACACGAGGUGACGAUUGUGUAUGCGGGUUAUAUGUGGUAUUUUGACCGGUUUAGACUUUUAGACUUCUUCCAUGUAUUUAAUUAGACUUGUUAUAGCAUAUUACAUCUUUCACUGUUAAAUUUCCUCUCAUAUGCUCUAAUUGACGUUGUUAUUAUUUGUUCGAUCCUUUAUUGUUGUAAUUUCUCUUAUAUGCUUUAGUAGAAGUUACUACCUCUUUUAUUGUCUUUUUACUCCGUUAUUGUUAAAUUACACUUACUUGAAGUUGUUAUUUCGUGGAAUAUCUUCUUGUUGGGUUAUUGAUGUUGAAGUUGUGGAAGCCAUUAUCAUAUUGAGAUUGAAGUUGUUAAUUGUUGAGAUAUAUUUCCUUGUUGAGUAUUUCCUCAUUUAUUUUAUUAUUAUAGAGAUUCUUGUACACAUUGUGAUUGAGCCAUGGGCUAUCGUUGUGGUAACAUUGGCAUUGUUGAUUUUGGCAAGUGUUGUGGCAUAUGGGUACAUAUAGUGCGAGUUGAUUAUUGUAUUGUGAUAUUGAUACGCAUAUUGCUAGUAAGGGAAUUACUUGAAGCCACGUGGUGAGAUAAGGGGGCUAAAACACGUGUAUCUAUUUCGGAGAAAAUGUUUUAAAAAAAUAAAUGCAAGGCUCACGUAGUGAUACAAAGAAAGACUGUGAUUGAAAUUAAGAAAUAUGAAUAUGCGGUGUGAUACCUCGGUUGUGAUUUUUGUUGUAUAUUCCAUGAUUAAAGAGGCUUGUUGGAUGAAUAGUACUACUUUGUUGUUGCCUUCAUUGUCUUACUUGUAUUUGUCCGUAUUUGAUUACUUGUUGUUCUCAUUAUGUGUUUACUUCUCGUUGUGUUUCUUGCCUUAAAUUCUGUUAUUAGCCUACAUUAUUAUACUUCUUUGUUAUCAUUCAUUUUCUCAUUCUUCGUUAUUGGUCUUUAUUAUACUCUGUUCAGUUUAUCUAGUCCUAGUAGGUGUCUUGACCUGGUCUCGUCACUACUCUAUCGAAGUUAAGCUUGAUACUUACUGGGUACCGUUGUGGUGUACUCAUACUAUAUUUCUGCACAUUUUUGUGCAGAUCCAGCUACAUUUGCUGGAGUCAGGCUCUACUGAUCAUUCAGCUAUUUCUGAAAACUUCAAGGUAUACCUUCUCAACGCUCGCAAGCCUCGGGGUCACCUUCCGACAUUCUCUAAUUACUGUUUACCCUCUAUUCAGACAGUGAUGUAUUUUUAGUACUUUCUGUAGAGCUUAUGACUUAGUUUUCAUCGAGUUUUGGGAGUAUUGUAGUUGUGAUUCAGUAUUGAAAUUUUUAUGAGAGUUAUCAGGUUAUAUCAUGUUUUUAGUCUUUAUUUCUUUCAUAUUCUUUUGAAUGUUAGGCUUACCUAGUCUUAGAGACUAGGUGCCAUUACGAUAUCCUAAGGUGGGAAUUUGGGGUGAUGACAACUUUCCUCAUGCUAAUUGGUAAACGAAAUAUUCUUAUCUGGUAUUGUGAAUUUGGAAUACAGUUCUUUGAUAAACUCGUGUUCAGUUGUUUUUCAGUGGUAAGAUUUGGAAUUGAUUGUUUUACUUGGAAAGCAUGCCUACUAUCCCGUAACUAUGAACGAGCUGAGAAUAUAUUUCUUGAGUUAUUUACCUUUAUUGUCUCUUUAUAUCAUCAUGAGUUAUUUUGGAUAUUAGUGUUGGACUUUGACCCUCUUCCAAGCUCGUCACUACUUUCAACCUGAGGUUAGGUUUGUUACUUUAUUGAGUAAAUAGGGUCGGUUAUACUCAUACUACACUUCUAUACCUUACAUGCAAAUUUUGGAACUGAUGUUGCUAUUUUUGGAGGGAGCUGGCAUUGAAGAUGUACCCCCAUUCCGAUUAUAGCUGUCACUUCUCCUUGGUAGCUUUAGAUUUACAAAUCUAUUUAUAUAUACUUUGAACAGAUGAUGUAUUUAUUUCAUGCCAGCUUUGUAAAUUCUAAUUCUUAGAAACUCAUGACUUGUACUACCAAUCCUUGGGAAAUUGUAUAGAAAUUUAGUUAUUUUACUCAUUUACUUUUAUUAUUUACAUUUGAGUUGUGUUGACUAAUACUUGGGUUACCCAGCGGGUUGGGUUAGGUGCCAUCAUCACAAGUUGAAUUUUGGGUCAUGAUAAUAUGAGUAAGGUAACCGUUCUUCAAUAAGUAAUCAACUUCUCCUUGUAAAAGCUUACAAUACGCCGUUUUAUGCCCAUAAUCAACAUAAUCACACCAAAACUCUUGACUUAUUUUACUUGGGUCUAACCUCAUUUCUCUUGGCCAUCGUACCUUAUCUCUCAUACUUAUUAAUAUUGCUACUAAUUCAGAAGUACUUACAUUAAAAUGGUAAUAUGCUAGUUUUAGUCUGGGACUCUGGUCGUUAUAUCUUGUUAUUUCCCGCUCUUUUCCAGCCCGUGAAGAAAGACUUAUCUCUCUCACCUUGACCUUUGGUCAAAUUAUGCUUGUUCUAGUUUGUGAUCUCUCUUCGCAUCAUUCGAUAUAGGGCUCAUACCUAUUGUUUCGCAUUUUGUUGCUAUGACUUUGAUCUUCUUGUCCCGAACCCAUCUUCCACCUUUGGUUGAGCCACUGUCUCGUCCUCUAUGCGAAGUUUCGUGUUUUACCUAUUGUAGACAUCAUUUCAAGUGGUUGGUGAGAAUUCUUGUAAACUUUCAUUCAACCUUCUCAUAGAUUCUGAACUUCUUUCAUUCAAGUUUCUUGCAAAGCUAUUACUGUCCGAUUAUCAGGUGCAAGAGGUAGCAAUAUUCUUUCUCACUAGAAGUGGUCCACAAUUUCUUUGAGUAAUUAUGUGCUUCAUUGUUGUAUUUUAAUGAUGUCCUCCAUUCUUUUCUUUACUUAUUGGGCUCCUGAAUAUGCUUUAAUAAAUGAAUCUUCAAGCUUAGUAAAAGAUUCAAUUGAAUUCUUAAGUAAAAGAGAAUAUCAUGUUAAUGCCUCUUUUGUAAGAGUUUCACCAAAUAUUUCCACCAGCACCAACUAUAUUUUUUGCUUAGUCAAAUCACUGCCUUUGACUCCUACGAAAAUAAGGUCACAUGGUCUCACGGAUCAGGGUUCCAUCGUAUUUGGAAAUAUUUGGCAUCUUGCAUUUUUUUGGUAUGGGCAAUGGUGUUGCGCUAGGUUUCCAUGAUUGUUGUCAACAGUUUUCCAUAUCCACAUCUUUAAUAACUAGUGAUACACUCGGUAUUUGUUCUAUCUAUUUAUUUUGUUUCUUGAGCUAUUUCUGCAAGGUUAAAACUAAAUUUUAUAAAUCAGGAUUACUUGGCGUACCUUAACCUCCUGCUCUAGAGCUGUUUGGAAUUUCCCAACUUCCUAAAUAUUCAUGUCCUAAAUUGGGAUUUUUUAUGGUUGUGUUAACUGGGGGUGGCACUGGAACUGCUUGGUGCAUUACCAUUCUAGCUCGCAACACCUCUCCAAUUUGCUGAGCAAUGAAUUGCUUCAACUCAUCCUACAAAUCGGAUGGUUCUUCAUUUCGCUACACAAUACUGCGACUGGCAGAUUUUACUGGUGAGUUAUCACAUGAACGUUGUGAAGAAUAUGUAACUAAAUUUCUUGGAGGAGAUCCCCCUUGUCCAUUCCCCUGCUGAGUAAUUUGGUCGGUUCCAAAUAUAAUUUACUGACAUGGAGAAAAUAUAAAUAGAAAGUUGAACGAUUGUUAGAGUCUCGGUAAGGAACCAAACUAUUUAGCCCAAAAAAUAAUUUUUUGUAGUCAAAGCAAUAAAAUAAAAUAAAUCGGAUUUCUAACAACCGAUUUAUUUCACUUUUUCAAGUAUAAUUGAAACAAGAAAUGGACAAAUAAUAAUAAAGAAAUAAAUUGAGAGAAUAAAGGAAAUUUUAUUGAUAAUUGAAUCUUUUUUCCAGUAGGAAAGAAAUAAUCUUCCAAUAAUAAAGAACAGUAGGAGAAUUCUAUAAUUGAUAAUAUGACUUUGUAGAAUUUCGACGGGGAUAAAAAAUAUGAAAGAGAGAUUUAAAUAGUACUAUCAUUUGUAACCAUUUGCCUUGUUGAGCUCAUGCAUGUUAUCUGUCAUUUAUUGCAUUAAUUUUCCAUACAUGAUUGAUUUGUAACGGUUGAGAUAAUAAUAUCAAAUCGCGUGUAAUCCAUGAUUGACUGAUCCUUUUCAUAUUUAUAGCUAUUAAUGACUUUAAUCAUCAGUGGUUAUUCGCUUAUGUUUAACCCCGAAGCUAAUAGACACGCGAACAACCCGAGGGUGUUGUUUACAUCUUGUGAAUGCGUCAUUCUUCUUUGUCGUAAUAACUCCCAUGACACAUGUCAUUAUGAUAUAAAUUCACGUGGCGAGUUUGUUUUUCACUAAUACAUAAUUCUCAUUUAUGACAUUAUUAGAUGACUUUUUAAUAGAAAUAAAAUAAUCAAGAUUGGAAACAAGCUUAGUAAAAGAAAAACAUAGGCUGAGAGAAAUUUCCUCUGCAUCGUAGAACUGCGAAAUGGGACAUGAAUGAAUGCAUGCAUUGGCUUCCUGCCCUAUAAAAACUCUCUCAGUCUCUGAUCUCUCCCUAUCUGACCAUCCUCUCCUCUUUCUCUCUCUUCUCUGGGUUCAGAUCUCUCUCAGAGCAAAAAAAUAAAAUAAAAAAACAUCUUUAGAGAGGGAGAGAGGGAAAGAAUGGGCGCCUGUGCUAGCAAGCCUAAUGUGUUGAAUGGUGACGCCCCAGAAGUCGUACCAGAGAAUGUCCCUGCCAAGGAUGCUACGGUUGCGGCUGAAGAAGAGGUGAAGAAGGAGGAGGGUGUCAUUGCGGAUCAUGAUGCCGACAAAUGUCGAUCUCUCAAUAACCUGUUCAAUGUAUGUAUUCAUAUUUCAAUGCCCAAUCUAUAUAUGUUUCUCUUUAUUUCUCUUCGUUUAUUUUUGUGCCUAUGUUCUUGCUUUAAUACGAAAAAUGUAUACUCUCUAUAUUUUAUUUAUAUAGAGGUGUUUAAGAAUACAUACAUAUGAAACAAACAAUUAGAACUUUUGGUUCAAAUAUGAUAUGUUAUACUAGAUAAGAAAUUUAAAGUACCGGAGUUUUUAAUUACAAAAAAAUAAUCAUUUUUUAACAAAGCAAAAUGGAAAGAUUCUGAUAUAAAAUAAAAAGUAUUAGUGAUAACUUUCUUUCUUCCUCUUUUGAUUCAUAUUUUCCACGUCUAAUUUUUUUGUUAAUUCACUUAUGUCCUGCGGUGCAAUUCAUAUCACCGUGAUUAUUGAUGAUCAUUGACCUUUCACAUAUUUAGUUAGGGAAGUUUUUAUGAAUUGAUUUACUUUGUUUAUUUAAUACUUCGGUAUUACUUAAUUUUUGUUAAACAAAACAUCAUUUGAAACGUAAACUUGUAAGUAGAGAAAAAAUAUCAUUUAAACAUAACUUCAAUAUUCUUAUAGAAUAGAAAUAUGAUCUUACAUGAAAUGUUGAAAAAGUUAUCUAAAGACUUUCUAUUGGUUCUUAUUUUUUCCAAUAAUUUUCUAAGGGGUCUAUAAAAUUUCGGUUGUGGAGCUCCUUUAUGCCACAUGGAAGACGUGAAACUUUCAUGCCUAAGACUACUUUUGUUUGAUCUAAAUAUGAAGAGAUCUGAUCAUGAUAAAGGUGAUGGAUACUACCUUGUUUUGGCUAUGACUUACCAUAACCCUUGACAAGAAAGGCUCUGUUAGUUCUUGUUAGCAAUGGCCGUAAUGAAGUUAAAUAAAAAAAUGAAACAGUACUUUCAAACAUACCUAAAGUAUUUUUCGACCUUCUGGUCUUAAAUAUGAUGUGAUAUUUAUAUAAUUAUAAGAUCAUGUCAUUAAGGAUAUAUGAUAAGUGUAUAAUCUGAAAAGGUUUUAUAACAUGAUAAGUUGUGGUUAUUGUUUAAACAGACCAAUUAAGAAGUAGAAAAAGUGACAUAUAAAAUAGAAUGGAUGUAAUACAAUUUAGGAAAAAGGGUCACAUAUACCUCUAUACUUUGGUAUAUUGUUCACAUCCACCCUUCAUUAUACUAUCGGGGCAUAUAUACCCUCGCCAUUAACAAAUUAAAACACCCUCCAUCCAACGUAAAUCCACCAUAUUGAUAAAAUAAUCAUUUUGAAAAAAUUCAUUAACUCAUAACCCAUUAAGCCUAUCAUAUAACAAUAUGGAACCUAGAUUUAUGAGAUAUUUUAACAUAUUUUAUUCAUUUAGAGAGAGACCGAGAAUUAUGGUGGCAGUAGGAUUAGUAAGAACUUAUACUUUUGGUUCUUAGUUGUUCGUGGUGGAAUUAGGAUAUCAUGUUAUCACUUUUGGUUGUAUUUUGUUGUGUUUAUAAUAUGAUAUCCCUUUGUCUAAUGUAAUGCAUACUUGUCAGUUGGCUUGUAUGUUGGUAACAACUAAUAUAUACUUCAACAAUAGUUGUGUUUGUUAAUACAUGAAGUUAGUGUACUUAGGUUGUUAAGUUACUUUCCAACUUGUUGGUGUACUUUCUUUAAUUCUUGAUGAAUUCUUUAGAAUGUAGCUUGAUAUUAAAUUGAAUCUCCUCUAAUUAUUUUCUAAUUUUUGUUCACUAUAAGUUCAGUUGCUACUAAGAAUUAUGAGUAUCCAAUCCCAUAGCUUAGAAUCUAACUUUGGUUCUUAAGGCGUGAUUUAGCGAUAAUUACUCGUUCCCCAAAUGCUUAAAGAAGAAUAAGAAAAUUAUGGUGCGUGAAUACUCAUCAACAAAGGCUCACUGUUGGAGGAAGAAAUACCUCGGUAGCUACCUUAAGACUUCAUAAUUGCAAACCUAAUAAGAUUCUAUAAACAUUCAAGUCAUACUAGAAAGAAAAUCAUGGUGAAUACUCGGUACAAUUCGACAUAGUGAAAAAAAAAAGAAGAGAAGCUAGAAGAAAAAAAGGAAAUUAAAAAAGGUAGAAUAUAAUAACAUACAACAAGGAUAUUAAAAGAAUUGAGACUCAAUAUAUAAUUGAAAAUAUGGUUGUCGGUAUUUUUAUGUCUUUCACUUAUUGAGUUUAACAAGUGACUAGGAAGGAGAUGACUAAUCUAUAAGAAAGAAGUGCAGUAAAUAAAAGGGGUUUAACGGGUUAUUAAUGGGUUUUUAAAAAGAAUAAGUCUUUUUAAUUUGGUUGUUUUCCGUUAGGUGAAGGAAAAGUUUGGAUAACGGUAAGGAUAGAUAUGGCCCGAUAAAAUAACGGAGGGUAAAUAUGAACAAUAUAUUAUAUAAUUUAAUGCACCGUUUGUGAUACAUCUGACCCUAUUAAUGCUCCAGAAUGAAGAGGGGAAGGGAUCGGCAGAAGAGAAAGAAGAGACGUCAGUGCAAAAGGCUUGUGAAGUACCAGCGGAGGCCAAGAAAGAAUUAGAAUUAGUUGAGAAGGUUGUCGAUGAAACUGCGAAAGCUGAUGCUGCUUCUAUUGAUGAGAAGAAAAUAGAGGAAGUAAAAUCAGAAAAUCCGGAUGUGGAGGAAGUAGUAAAACCAUCAUUGGAGAGUAUUCCAUCUCCUGCAGAGAAUAAAGCAGAUGAAGAGAAAGAAGCUCCUGCAGAAAAGACAGUAGAGGAAGUACAACCAGAAACAGAGAAUAUUCCUGCAGAUGAAAAGUCAGCCACUGAAGCUCCAAAAUCUGAAGAGAAGAAAAUAGAAGAGAAAUCAGCUCCCGAGUAUCCAAAAUCUGAAGCUUCUUCUGUGGGGAUUAAAAAAACAGAAGAGAAACCAGCUACAAAGAAAGGCAAGUUUUGGUGGGAUAAGUGAACCAAAUUCACAAGUCAUGGGUACUGAUGUUAUUUUUAACAAGUUCUCUUGAGCAUGAUUUAUUUUAUUUUUACUGUUGAAUAUCAUUCUCAUUUGAUGAAAUUGGUAACGUUGUAUUUUCACCUUCAUAUUCAAAUACUUCAUCGUUUUUCCAUUCUAUACAAAUUUAUUUUCCUUAUUAUUCUAGUUUGAUCAAUACUCAUUACUGAUAUCUCUUUAUGCUGUUGAUUAAAUAGAAUCUAAUUAGAGACCUCCAUUUCUUUGAGUUCAAACAGAACAGGAAAAACGGAAUAUGUGUGUGAUACUUGAAGUUGCUUCAAAUAAUACCUACAUUAAUUAUGUAGUUAGUUGUCUAGUUGUCUUUCGAUUCAGACUUAGAGCCUAUGUUUCGAUUAAGCUAUAAAUAAGAGUGUCAGAGAUAUAAUGAAUGAGGAGAUGAAUCGACGAAGCAACUGUCCUUGAGGAGAAAAUCAUAAUGAAAAAAAAUUGAGAAGAAUUCUAAACUCAAAGUAUUAGAAGGUGUAUGAUCAAUAGGUGUUGCAGCUCCUUUGGUACAAAUGAAUAUAAGUCCCAUGGAUAGAUGAAGAGACGUAUAUAAUUCUGUAUUGCAAAUCUGUUAGAAACUCCACGUAAACUGUUGUAUUUAUGUUUAAAAUACAGUAUCAUUUACAGUUUACACUUCAUGAUUUAAUUAUAUAUAUUUACAUGUUUUGAAAGCAUAUAGGUAUUAUGUUGUAUUUUUAAAGUAAUGAAUGAUUUUCAUGAGUUCUAUGAGUAGUGUUUCGCUCGAUGAAAUUUUACGAAAACGGAUGCCAGUCGCUCGUCCAGAAUUGGGUCAUAAUACUCUUCGCAUGAAAUAAGGUAGUUCUUUGGGACUAAAUACUAAUUCCUCGUGUGUGGAGAUUCUGAAUUGAAAUUAGAAAAUUAUACUGCUACAAGGUUCUCUUAGGAUAAAGAUGAUAGCAAAUCUAUUUUUGGUUAUGUAUUCACUUUAAAUAGGGAUGUAGUGAGUUGGAAAAGUUCCAAGCAAAUACCAAUAGCUAAUUCAGUGACUAAAAUAGAAUAUGUAGCAGCUAGUGAAGUGGCUAAAGAAAGUACAGACGUCUCUGUACCAAUCUAAAAAGAUGCUAACAGUAACACAACAUUGAGUCCAUUAGCCCGCCGAUUAACAUAUAGCCAUAUAUCAGUCUGAAUAAAGUUGAAGAUUCCACCAAGUCUAAAGAAGAUUUUAACAAAAUAGAAAGAGAAAACAAAAUCUUUUUGUAAUCAUCUUCAUUUAUCUUUAUGCUAUCAAAUACAAAUUACAAUAUGAUCUAUCCAAAAUUAAUCAGAGUACUAUGUCCAUUGCUAAAGAACAGAGAGCAGCAACAGCAGAAAUUAGUACAGUUUCUAUCCAGUUAGCUCUAGUAAGAUACAAUUACUACAGUUUGUGCAACGGGCUACAUAAAUUAGGUUACAGAAUCAUUUUCCUGUAUCAGUUACUUCAAUCAAUAUCUAUACACAACUGCCAACGCUUACUACUAAAGAAAUUUCACGAAACUACUAUCUUCAUUCCCUGUUCUACUGCUAUAUCUUAUAGGAUUCUCAUAUGUCAACCUACUUUAUACCUAAUCAAACACUUGAUCCAAAAAAAUGAGUUUCGAAUAUAAAAUUAAUCUUCGCUAAAGAACAUCGCUAGAAAUUUUCAUCAAAUUUAUUUCCAUCGCUAGAAAGUAGAAAUCGCUAGAAAGUAGAAACAUACCUUUGAAAAUUGAAACUAUCGCAAGUUCGCAACAGCAGCAUCUUCGUUUGCCCGGAAUUUGUGAGGACUGAGGAGUGAGGAGUCGGAGCUCGGAAGUCGAAAAUCGCCAGAUCGAAAAUCGCCAAAUCGCCGCUCAACUGUACUGUAAUCUAAAUUGCUAAAUGCUAAUGCCCUAACCACU
rnacentral:lncRNA from 1 species